rnacentral:rRNA from 1 species
UACGUAGGGUGCAAGCGUUAAUCGGAAUUACUGGGCGUAAAGCGUGCGCAGGCGGUCCGUUAAGUCUGUCGUGAAAUCCCCGGGCUCAACCUGGGAAUGGCGAUGGAUACUGGCGAGCUAGAGUGUGUCAGAGGAUGGUGGAAUUCCCGGUGUAGCGGUGAAAUGCGUAGAGAUCGGGAGGAACAUCAGUGGCGAAGGCGGCCAUCUGGGACAACACUGACGCUGAAGCACGAAAGCGUGGGGAGCAAACAGG